GGCCCCGUGACGGAAUCGGCAGACGUUGGGCACUUACACUGCCCUGAGCCUCCGGCUCGUGAGGGUUCGAAUCCCUCCGGGGCCA
rnacentral:tRNA from 1 species